GACAUGACAUCUUGUUAUCAAAGUUGCUGCUUUUGUUUCACUUUGUUCCUCCCUUCGGUCUUCUUUCUCUUUUUUCUCCCUUGGCCCAAUGUAAAUUCAGACAAAAAAAAGAAAAAGAAAUUAGAAAAAGGGAUAAAUCUAAAGCCUUUUACUUUCUUGUGUUCUACUUCUCUUUCGAGUUAUUAGCUUUCUAUCCUGUCAUCAUUUGACCCAACUGACUUUGGCUGCUGAUUUGGGGAAGAAGAGGAUUUUCUUCCCUGAUUUUGGAGUUGAAGUUCCCUUCUUUAAAUUGAUUCUGUGAAGGAAAUUGAAUCAGGGUUGGUUUAUUGUGGAUUUGAUUCUUUCUUUUGU